rnacentral:tRNA from 1 species
UCCCUGGUAGUCCAGUGAUGAGGACUCAAUGCUUUCACUGCCGUGGCCUGGGUUCAAUUCCUGGUUGGGGAA